UACAGGGGGUGCAAACGUUGCUCGGAAUCAUUGGGCGUAAAGCGCGCGUAGGCGGCCACUUAUGUCGGAUGUGAAAGCCCUCGGCUUAACUGAGGAAGUGCAUCCGAAACUGAGUGGCUAGAGUACGAAAGAGGGUCGCGGAAUUCCCGGUGUAGAGGUGAAAUUCGUAGAUAUCGGGAGGAACACCGGUGGCGAAGGCGGGUCUCUGGGCCGAUACUGACGCUGAGACGCGAAAGCGUGGGGAGCGAACAGG
rnacentral:rRNA from 1 species